UACGGGGGGGGCAAGCGUUGUUCGGAAUUACUGGGCGUAAAGGGCUCGUAGGCGGCCAACUAAGUCAGACGUGAAAUCCCUCGGCUUAACCGGGGAACUGCGUCUGAUACUGGAUGGCUUGAAUCCGGGAGAGGGAUGCGGAAUUCCAGGUGUAGCGGUGAAAUGCGUAGAUAUCUGGAGGAACACCGGUGGCGAAGGCGGCAUCCUGGACCGGCAUUGACGCUGAAGAGCGAAAGCCAGGGGAGCAAACGGG
rnacentral:rRNA from 1 species